UACGCCGCAUAACAACGAAAAUUUACACUGAAACAAAAGACGUCUUUUAAUCAUUGUCUUCUGAUAUAUUUCACGUUAAUAUGUCUCUUUAAUCAUCAGAAUGAACGAGAUUUAUAUGAUCUAGUUAUGUGAUAUAGAGGAUUAUAGAAUUAACUUCUUGACAACAGGCUGUUACAAGUGUAUGUACAAGUAGGACAUGUACGGUAUAGCAUAGAUGAAGAAUCACAACUUCAAAUUGUUUUGAAGCAGAGGCCAACAUAAUUUUAUAUAAACUAUUUAUCGAGAAGGUGAAUGUGUUCACAUGUUACAGAUUAAUUAAAAAAAAUGGAUCGUUUACAACAUCUAAGAAGGGCCAAAGUUGUUGAUGAUAUAAAUAAUUUUCGACUUUUUGGCGAUUUGAGAAAAACGAACUUUGAACCAAGAAAACCAGUUUCACUCGGAUCAACUAUCCAUGCAGAACGGAGUAUGUUAAUGUUUGAACAAAGAAGAAAACGAUAUCCUGAUAAAGUGUGUUAUAAAGACUUAUAUACCUCUCUUAUACAAUCUUUACCAUCUUAUAAUGUCACACCUCGUGACGUCAGACGGCUUACCUGGAACACAUAGAGUCCUAAACUUCUCAUGAUUGUAAUAACUCAUAAAUGGCAAGGCCACUGACAGAAUGAAAAUUGACAAAGUGUGUCGAUAAUAGAAAGGCGUUACAAAAGAACAGUUUUAAAAGCAAAAGACACUGUUCUUGUAGCCUUGAUCUGGUAUUUCAAGACCCCCCACCCCCACCCCUCACCAUUAUAGUACGCCAUACUAAGCGCAUACUGAUGUGUAAAUUGUGAAUGUGGUAAAAUGUAUGUAUAAUCUGUGUGUUGUUAGUGUGAUAAAAUACUUGUAUAUACAUUUAUAUAUAUUUUUUUCGCAGUGUGUUAAAAUAAUAUUAUUUAUACCUGUUUAUUGUAAGUGUGAUAAAAUACAAAUAUAAUUUGUAGAGUGUGAGUGUCGUAGAAUAAUUGGGUGAUUUGUAUUGUGGGUGUGAUCGAAUAGAUUUAUAAUGGGUGCAUUGUGGUGUAACAAAAUACAUAUAAUGUGUACAUUUUGUGUGAUAAAAGUUGACAUAUUUAAAGGAUUUUGUUGCAUUAAAAGAUCUCUAUUUUGAAACUAGAUGGCUUUAUCUGUAAUUCUUGAAGCUAUAUAAUUUACGAACUCUUUAUCUAACUAGAUAACCUAGGUUAGAGCCAAAAGCUGGAGGGACCACCACGCCUAUCCCCAACUCCCUACCGAGUAAAAGCAUAAGCACCUAUUUAAUCCGCGUGUUGAAUUAGGAGAUAUGUUUUAACAAUCAAAGCUUCUUUACAUCCAAAAUUAUUGAAUACUACCCUUUGUUUAUCACUCGAUAAAGUUCCUUAAUAUAAACAAAUGCCAUUUUGCAUUGGUUGUCAGGCUGGUGUUGGUUACAAAACAGUAUGUUUAUUUUUUACCAAAAAGUAUUAGAUCGUCUUUAAUGCAACCCGAUUUAGUUUGUAAAUAAAUCCACCUAGUUUCCUUAAAUAACUAUUUUUCUUCACAAAUCAAAUAUUUAUGGGUCAAACAAAAAGAAAGCUUUCUCUAGAGAUGUAUUAUAAAUGGUUAAAUACACCCUGUUAAUUAUUGUAAUGACGGACUCAAUCUCAUUAUUUCUGAUAAAUGGUUUGUUAAUCUUAUUUUUCUGCAAUUUCUUUUAUCUUUAAGUUGGUUAAUUAACAAUAAUAUUUUAUUCAAAAAUCGAUCAUUCCUUUUAAAUUGAAAUAUUACAAUACAUAAGUUCUAAAUAUUUAACUAGCCUACCAAUAAUAACCUCGAUCACUGGUUCGGUGUUAAUAUAACACCGCGGUUUGCAAAAGCAUAAACAAUGUUAUGAAGACGAAAUACCCACAUUGGUGACUGUCAAAAUCGAUUUGACUCUCGGGGUGGUGAUUGGAAAAGUGGUUAGGAAGCUAUUGUAAGUGGGCGUCUGUUGCUUGUACAAAAUAUGGAUGUUAUGGAGUUUGCAAGGGAGUUCUACAGAUCAAAGCUGUUGUGCUCUAAAACAUAGAAAUAAAAUAUACAUGCCAGCGAGCCACUUCUUGUGAGAUUCUA